rnacentral:rRNA from 1 species
UUCGCAAUGCCCGAAAGGGUGAACGAGCGACGCCGCGGUGACGGAGCGACGCCGCGUGUGGGACGAAGCCCUUCGGGGUGUAAACCACUGUCAGGGGACAGAAAGUUCUGAUCGUCCCCAGAGGAAGGCACGGCUAACUCUGUGCCAGCAGCCGCGGUAAGACAGAGGUGCCAAGCGUUAGGCGGAAUCACUGGGCUUAAAGCGUGUGUAGGCGGGUGCCUAAGUACCUUGUGAAAUCCCACGGCUCAACCGGGGAACUGCUGGGUAUACUGGGUGCCUUGGGUCAUCUAGGGGCUGCCGGAACAAAUGGUGGAGCGGUGAAAUGCGUAGAUAUCAUUUGGAACGCCAACGGCGAAAGCAGGCAGCUGGGGAUGCACCGACGCUGAGACACGAAAGCCAGGGGAGCGAACGGGAUUAGAUACCCCGGUAGUCCUAGCCGUAAACGAUGGGCACUAAGUAGAGGGGUUUU